UUCCGGGCUCCCUCCUGGAGACCCCAGGGCGGGGCGGUUCUAGGCCUUGACUGACAGCUCAGUGCCGCUCAGCACGGUAUAAUAGAUCUCCUAUGCAUGAAGCAGUAAAGGGGGUGAGAAGGAAAGCUCAGGUUUGAGGGGAAUGGGAUGCCGUGUGCCCUGUGGAGGGGGCCCUGAACGAGCUGGGGAGUUUGCAGUUCCUGUGGCCUGGCACCGAAACACCACCGAACAUUCGAUGAAAUGAAUGGGCAGCUUCCAAGCCCCCGACCCCUGUCUUUACUGUGGGGGAGACCGACGAGAAGGCAGGGGGCUUGGGCUGAAUCCAGGGCUCAGGCCAUAGAUGCGCCUCCCCCCAUACCGGCUCUCCCCUCAGCUCCCACUCCGGAGGGCAGCGUGGUCUCAGGGCCCCCGGUUUCAUCCCUGCCUGGGGAAUUACUUCGGCAGAGCCCGCGGGUGGAGUUUUCCUGUCAGCUAAAUUAGCCGCGGCUCCAGCCUGAGCGUCGGAAUAAAUGAGAUGCAAAUGUUCCAAGUGCUCCCGAGCCUUGUGUGCCCAGUGGCCGGCUACCCUGUUGGCUGAGGCAGCUCUAAGGUGCCUGAGCUGGAGCGAAGAACUGCUGGGGAGUCGUUUCUGUCAGGGAAACUGCUGAGUCUUUGGCAAGGGCAGAAAUGAGCCGGGUCUCCCUGGGAGCAUCUGCCCACACGUGGGCCUGGGCGAGCCUGCCCUGCCAGGCUGCAGAGAGGGAGGACCAGCCUCAGAGGAGGCGGACGGAGCCAACUCACAGCUUUGGAGUGGGGAUCACAGACACACUCAGUCCAGAGGCUCCUGAUUCCAAGGCGACCAAAAUGCCAGACGUGACUCAGGACGCUGGAGUGUGCCUGCCCUCGGGAUCCAGGAGGGCAAUGGGCAGGAAGGGGCUGCAAGGAGGGGUUAGGCCGGAGUGGAGUCCCUCUUCACCCCUCAGAUGAACAACCGUCCUGGUUUGUCUGGGACUGAAGGUAUCUCAGACACAGGAAUUCUACUGCUAAAACAGGGGAAAUCCUGAAUAUCACCGCCCCAUCCCAGACAGUACCCACAGUUGCACUCUGGGCUGCCAGCCUGUCAUGCUCUGUGUCAUAGCUUUGUAACCACCAUUGAUUGAGAACCAGCUCUCUGCCCUGUGCAUUCAGGAAAUCUUCCGCCCAGCAGGCCUAUUGAAGAGACAAAAAGAGGAGACCGUCCAGGACAGUCCAGUCUGGUGUGAACAGUCAAUAUUCUUCCCUACAAUAUCUCUGCCCUGAUGUGGACAUCCAUACAUACAGGCCAAUGACUCAGAGGAGGGCGCGAGAAGCUUUCAGGCUGUUUGGGGAGACCAGAAUUGCCCCCAUGGCCUGUCAGAGAGCAGCUGAGGCCUGAAGGGGGCAAGGACUGGGGGUGGGGCUCAGCCUCCUGGCCCAGAGGAGUGAGGUCAGUGUGGGUGGGCAGUCAGAGGAAGUGUCCUGGAGGAGAUGGGGUAGUGAGGAGAGCCUGAGGUCACUCUGCCCUCGCACAGGGCUGGGGAAGUGUUUGGGAAUGUCUAGGCCAGGGAGUGGUGGGAGCUGCACGUGGAGGAUGGAAGGUAAAAGGGAGGAGGCCAGUGGUAGUGGGAUCAGCAUGGUCCCAGCUGGGACGAGGAUGCCUGUCCCAGGGCAGUGGCAUUGGGGAUGGGGGCUGUGAAGUUUGGUGGGGGUGUGGGGUUGUAGCCAGUGUCAGAGGAAGGGACGUAAGGAGGAACCAGUUUGAAAAGGAGCAUUCAUAGUUUGUUCCCAUUAACUCUCAGGAACCACCAGAAUGUAGGGAGAGAUGCACCCAGUAAGCAGAAGCUGAUGAACUUGGGACAGGAUGGAGUAGCGGGUCCCUAGAGCUCGAGUGAAGCUGACAGGAUAGGGGAAACUGGCCCAGGGAGAGUGGUCAGCUGGAAGAAGCUGUCCUAGCCCAGGGAGCGGCAGCAGGGCUGGUGCAGAUGGAGAAGCUGUCCUGGGUGAGAGGAGAGAGUCACGGAAUGCUGGCGUCUAGAAGAGGAGCUGUGCUCUUUCAAUCAGAUCAAGUCCAGUCUCCCCCGCAUGAUGGAG
ensembl:lncRNA